AAAGUACUCCCUCUGUCCCAUAUUAAUUGUCGCUGAAACGGAUGUAUCUUGACGUAUUUCAGUGCUAGAUACAUCUGUUUGAGCGACAAUUAAUGUGGGAUGGAGGGAGUAGCAU
rnacentral:pre_miRNA from 1 species